AGUCUUCUCCUGCUUAAGCUAAAUGUUGCCACACCGGUGACUUCAGGAAAGCAGAAGGAUUUUCCAGUUCUGUUGUUUCUUCAUUAUCUCCAACUCUGGCAAUGACCAAGGUGUCUGGAAAA